rnacentral:rRNA from 1 species
CUGCGGAGGGAUCAUUACAGAGUUCAUGCCCUUACGGGUAGAUCUCCCACCCUGUGUUAUUAUUACCUUUGUUGCUUUGGCGGGCCGCCCGGCUUCGGCCAGGCUACCGGCUCCGGCUGGUAAGCGCCCGCCAGAGGACCCAAAACCCUGAAUGUUAGUGUCGUCUGAGUACUAUAUAAUAGUUAAAACUUUCAACAACGGAUCUCUUGGUUCUGGCAUCGAUGAAGAACGCAGCGAAAUGCGAUAAGUAAUGUGAAUUGCAGAAUUCAGUGAAUCAUCGAAUCUUUGAACGCACAUUGCGCCCCUUGGUAUUCCGAGGGGCAUGCCUGUUCGAGCGUCAUUACAACCCUCAAGCAAUGCUUGGUAUUGGGCCCCGCCGCUCACCCGGCGGGCUCUAAAAUCAGUGGCGGUGCCGUCGGGCUCUGAGCGUAGUAAUUCUUCUCGCUAUAGGGUCCCGGUGGAUGCUGGCCAACAACCCCCAAUUUUCUAUGGUUGACCUCGGAUCAGGUAGGGAUACCCGCUGAACUUAAGCAUAUCAAUAAGNCGGAGGA